UUACGAUGGUCUGGAACACACCAAGAAACUAAACGAAGAAGCAGCAGCUUUGUUAACUUUUCAUCAAGAUGGCGCGACGCUCACGUAAACAAGCUGUCCAGGUGAACAUGGACAGUGAUGAAGAGUUCACCUUUUCCUCGGAAGAAGACGAAGACUUUGAAGAUGAGCGCUUGCAUUUUGAGGAUCGAAUUGAUCCAGUGGAGGAUACCAACGAUGGCAGUUAACGGACGAAAAAAAAAAAAAUGUACCAGUGACUCAUCAAAAAGAGUUUUCCUGCCUUUUUUUCUGACUGUCAGCUGGAUUGCCGUCAUAACGGUGAUAACAUUAACUGUUUGUGGUCUGGAACAUGUCAUCUGCAACAUCGGAGGUGUAUGUUGGAUCCUUUUCAUUGCCAUCAUGGUGACAUCAACUGCUGCCAUUUCCUUGACUGUACACCGCUGCUCUCCACUAACGCACAGAACGGGUGACGCUUUGAGGAGGAGGAAAAAAAGGGAGAGUCUGUUCUCCAAGCAAAAACAUGGAUGCUGACUAUGAAGGGCAGAAUCAUCAUCCAGCCACAACAGCAACAGACUCUUCUUCAGCAUUAUCUGUCCGUUUUGUCGGAAUGCAGAAUUGGGUUCUGAGAAUCAAUCCUGAUGACACCAAAGUCACAGAUCAGAUGGAAAUCUCUAAAGGUCCAAAGAAAAAUCAGCCUGAACCCCUCAUGGUGUUUCUCAUCAGAAAGCUUGUCAACUUUGAUUGCCAAAAUUACUGAAAUGUAACAACACAAACUGACUUUUACUGUAUUUUUAAGGCCUGUAUGUUUUUGCCACAGAUAUAAAUGGUCCCUGGGAGACGGUUGGUGGUGUUGCCUUUUUUUUUCUUCAGCUAGUGGCUCCUAGAGGUCAAGAUUUGUAAUUUGUACUUCUAAAAAAAAAAAAAAAAAAAAAAAGUUUAAAAUUACUAAAAGGAAUAUUAUAAGGACAAAUGUUCAUGAGUUUCAUUUUUGGGGGAGUGGUAAAAAAAAAAAAAAAAAAGGUUUACAAUUCUGUACCGCAAUUGGAUCAUUUUAUACAAGUAAAAAAUAAACUCAACAGUAUACUGGAAAUGACAACAUGAUACUGUAAAUAAAACAAAGUACUGUAAUUGUCAAUACAAUAAUACUGUAAAAUCUUUUACAGUAAAUUAGUCAUUCAGCUGCUAGUAAGUUGCUGUAAAAUUUACAGCAAUCUCUACAGUGUACCUACCGUACCCAUCCACCACACCCAAGAUCCAGUUUCCAUUGGUUGAACUUUCAAAUGACGUUAAAAUACUCUGCGUCAUGAUCGUGAUGCAGUUGGAUCUCAGAAGUCCUGUAGCUUUAGCAUAGUGUAACAAGUUGAAAUCGUCCACUAAUCUCUACAUAGUCUAUGGCAUUUGACUGCACUCUAUGUGUGUGUGUGUGUGUCAAUCAGCUCCCUAGUUCAGCAGUUGGGGCACUGAUUCGGCCAUUUUAAAGGCUGUCUCAAUCUUAAAAUCAUACCAGUGAAAACCCUCAUGGUCUUCCUCCGAGUCCGCACUUUUGUGACGUAAUGCCGCUUUGACUGCCGGGUAAAGUCUUCUGCGUAGCUCGCAAACUUGUGGGCUCAGCUGAAGUGCUCAUCGAGGGUGCAUAGCAGCCACAAAGGGGGCGUUCGCGAGCACCCUUCUGAAACAUAAAAUGAUGAAUGGGACACCUUUUGGUCUCGUGGUCUUAACAGACACGCCAUUGUAAAUCCACAAGAUCGAAAGUGCAUAGAAGUGUGCCAUUUGGGAUUCAGCCUUGGUUCGCUUGACAAAUUCUAAAGCGCAAAAUAUAAAUCACGUGGGCCAACACACAUAAUGUGAUAGAUUUUUUUUAUUUUUAUUUUUUUUUUGUAAAUACAUUUUUUUUUUUUUUUUUUUUUAUAGGGUGUUCACACUUGGCAGGUUUGGUUUGAUAAAAACGAACCCUGGUGCAAUUGCUCUGUUGGUUCAUUUGAAUAAGUGAACGCUGCAAACUAAGUGUGAUUAUCCUUAAUUUAAGGAUAAACUUGCGUUGUUACACAGGUAAUGAACAUAAUCUAGCUAACAUUUAUUAUUUACAGCUGAAAUGUUGCAUGUCUAUAUAACAAGCAAAGUAUCAGAAUGUACUUUAAAUAACAUUAAAAAAAUAAUGAAAGCAGUUCUGCUGUUGUUCAUAUAUAAACCAGUAGUGAUGUUGUACAAUGAGGACAAAUGCUAUGUUCCGUAAAAAAUAGGACAAUUGUCAAAUAAAGAAAUAAAAAAAAAAUAAUCUAACUACAAGAAGCAGCAAAAAUAAAUACAUGAGAGCUAAGAUACAAAUAAAAUAAACAAUGCUUUACAGGUUUUCAGGUACAGAAAUUGAAGUAAUCAAAUAUAAAAUAACACUGCAUUUAAACUUCUUUGAAUAAAUUAAAUAACGAUUAAACAUUAUUGAAGUUACAAAAGCUAUUCAGUCAAGUGUAGUGAGAGAUUUCUUCGUCUUAUGUCGUUUGAUUAACAUUAAAAACAGCAGGAAUAUUAGACUGCUGUCCCUUUAAGACAUAAUUCAAAGAGAUAGAUAUAUAUAUAUAUAUAUAUAUAUAUAUAUAUGUAUAUAUACAUCCUGUUCUGUAUGGUAAGUGUGAAUUCAUAAAACUAUUUUAAAUAAUAUGUUUGCUAGAACAUAAAAUUUGUUCAAUGCAUCUUUUUUUUUUUUUCCCCAAACUAUUUUCUAGCCCGACGUUGUUUCGAGCCGUUUAUUCCCGCUCCAGCUGAAUUCAAAUCUUGCACGCGCUGACAUCCGAGAGAUUUAACUUACACGAUUUAGAAGAAGCCUGCUGGCCUCAGUUAUUGCGUGCUGACAGAAUCCUGCAUUUUCAGACGUUUAUAUCAGAUGAAGCAGACACAACUGUCCUCAGAAGCUUCAAAUACAGCACUGAAGGAAGAGCUGCAGCUGACUUUUGAUUCAUGUGAGGCAGACAAGGACAGAAAAGGCCAGGUGGUAAAUGCUGCCAUUCUUCUCGAAUACUGUUAACUUACUCUUCAAAGAACAGAGUCAUCAAUCAGGAUCCUUUCAUCUGAAAGACUGUGGCAAUGGGGACCCUUUGAACCACCAGUGGCAGUUUCUACAGGAUGAGAAAGGACAUGGUAGAGGAUGACAGGGGUCUUGAUAUCUCACUGACAUUAUCCUGCUGUACUGACUGUAUCACACACACAUACAGUGGUCAAAAGUUUACAUCACAUUGCAGAAUCUGAAAAAUCUUAAAAUAAGAACGAGUUGUUUUUUUCAUUCUUAAUACUGUUGUUACCUAGAUGAUCAAUGAUUGUUUUUUUGUUUGUUUUGUGAUAAUUGUUCAUGAGUCACUUGUAUGUCCUGAGCAGUUAAACUGCACAUUGUUCUUCAGAAAAAUCCUCCAGGUUCCAAAAGUGACUGUAUGAUGUGAUCUAUCUAUUCACACUGAAGACAACUGAGGGGCUGUUGUUGUUCAUUACACUAUGCUUUUAAUUAUUCUGAUAUGGUCAAUUUCACAUUAAAAUGUCUGAUAAAGAAAUUUUAAA